UGCAUAGGAAAGUAUUAUUCAUUUAUGAUGAGAAUAGGAUUUAUUUAUUUUGAACUUCGCUGGGUUCCUCCUUGGCAGCCAGUGCGAUUGUUUCAGCAGGGCUAGAACUCAGGACCCGCUGCCUUGAGGGACAUCUAAGAGCAGUUGGGCAGGGGAAAGGUCUCCCUUGGGAGGUGGUGGACUCUCCUUCCUUGGAGGUUUCUAAGCAGAGAUCGGACGGCCAUCUGCCAUGGAUGCUUUAGCUGAGAUUCCUGCAUUGCUGGGGGUUGGACUAGAUGACCCUGGGAUCCCCUCC